GACGGACCAUCCAAACGUUAUUCGGAUUUACUGGGCGUAAAGGGCGCGUAGGCGGCCUGCUAAGUCGAACGUGAAAUCCCUGGGCUCAACCCAGGAACUGCGUCCGAUACUGGUUGGCUUGAAUCCGGGAGAGGGAUGUGGAAUUCCAGGUGUAGCGGUGAAAUGCGUAGAUAUCUGGAGGAACACCGGUGGCGAAGGCGACAUCCUGGACCGGUAUUGACGCUGAGGCGCGAAAGCCAGGGGAGCAAACGGG
rnacentral:rRNA from 1 species